rnacentral:pre_miRNA from 1 species
AGAGGAAUAGCUGGGUCACAUGGUGGUUCCAUUCCCAGAUUUCCAAGGAAUCUCCAUACUGCUUUCCAUAUUGGCUGCACCAAUUUGCAGUCCCACCAGCAAU